AUUGAACGCUGGCGGCAGGCUUAACACAUGCAAGUCGAACGGUAACAUAAGAAAAGCUUGCUUUUUUUGAUGACGAGUGGCGGACGGGUGAGUAAUGCUUGGGAAUCUGCCUUAUGGAGGGGGAUAACUAUGGGAAACUGUAGCUAAUACCGCAUAAUAUCUACGGAUUAAAGUGUGGGAUCUUCGGACCACAUACCAUAAGAUGAGCCCAAGUGAGAUUAGGUAGUUGGUGAGGUAAAGGCUCACCAAGCUGACGAUCUCUAGCUGGUUUGAGAGGAUGACCAGCCACACUGGGACUGAGACACGGCCCAGACUCCUACGGGAGGCAGCAGUGGGGAAUAUUGCACAAUGGGCGCAAGCCUGAUGCAGCCAUGCCGCGUGAAUGAAGAAGGCUUUCGGGUUGUAAAGUUCUUUCAUUAGUGAGAAAGGUAUAAAUGUUAAUAGCAUUUGUAAUUGAUGUUAGCUAAAGAAGAAGCACCGGCUAACUCCGUGCCAGCAGCCGCGGUAAUACGGAGGGUGCGAGCGUUAAUCGGAAUAACUGGGCGUAAAGGGCAUGCAGGCGGUUACUUAAGUCAGAUGUGAAAGCCCCGAGCUUAACUUGGGAAUUGCAUUUGAAACUGGGUGACUAGAGUCCUCUAGGGAGGGGUAGAAUUCCACGUGUAGCGGUGAAAUGCGUAGAGAUGUGGAGGAAUACCGAAGCGAAGGCAGCCCCUUGGAGAGAGACUGACGCUCAUAUGCGAAAGCGUGGGUAGCAAACAGG
rnacentral:rRNA from 1 species